AUUGUCUGCAUUCGCUCGUGGGAUACGAGGGGCUGAGGGCGCCUUGGCCCUGGUCGAUCGCUCCAAAUUUUCGAAACAAGCCCUUGAUUUGUUUAUAUUUACACAAACAAAAGAGCAAAGUGAAAGGUUUAGUUGUUCACCGGUUGCUGGCCGUGGCCUUCCCGCCGGAGGAGGAGGAGGAGAUGGGCCAUCCGGCGGCGGGGCGGGAGGAGCGUCGGCGGAGACCCAUGGCGUCGCGGGCUGCCCGCCGCGGAGAUCACUGAACUUCUUCAACCUUCUCAUCAUUUGCAAGAAACCAUGAAUGAGUGUCACUGCUCUCCCGCUUCUGGCCUCCAGUCCUGCUUGCUCUUACAUAGGCAAAAUAGUGCCCGCCAUCCAACUUUUGACCUCCGUGCACAAUUACCGCUACAAGGCAAUAUUUGUACUCAUUGUCCAGAUAUCUGAACAUCAGAGAAAUGAAUAAUGGUUAAAAAUAUUUUUUUUUGAAGAAGUUAUCACCAAAGUUAUUGGCACUAUGAUCUUAUCGUGUAUCAUAUUGGAUCAGUAUUGAAAAAAUAUGAGCUAUGUUAUAUUCAACUAAGUAGAAGUAUUAA